rnacentral:rRNA from 1 species
AACGAACGCUGGCGGCAGGCCUAACACAUGCAAGUCGAACGCUCCGCAAGGAGAGUGGCAGACGGGUGAGUAACACGUGGGAAUCUUCCUAUCGGUGGGGAAUAGCUCAGGGAAACUUGGGGUAAUACCGCAUACGCCCGUAAGGGGAAAGAUUUAUCGCCGAUAGAUGAGCCCGCGUCUGAUUAGCUAGUUGGUGGGGUAACGGCCUACCAAGGCGAAGAUGCCUAGCAGGUGUGAGAGCAUGACCUGCGCCACUGGCACUGAGACACUGGCCAGACUCCUACGGGAGGCUGCAGUCGAGGAUCUUCGGCAAUGGGCGCAAGCCUGACCGAGCGACGCCGCGUGUGCGAUGAAGGCCUUCGGGUUGUAAAGCACUUUAGGGAGGGAGGAAGCCGCAAGGUUGACCUAUCUCCAAAAUAAGCACGGGCUAAGUUCGUGCCAGCCGCCGCAGUAA